AGUGAACGCUGGCGGUAGGCCUAACACAUGCAAGUCGAACGGCAGCACAGUAAGAGCUUGCUCUUACGGGUGGCGAGUGGCGGACGGGUGAGGAUUACAUCGGAAUCUACUUUUUCGUGGGGGAUAACGUAGGGAAACUUACGCUAAUACCGCAUACGACCUACGGGUGAAAGCAGGGGAUCUUCGGACCUUGCGCGAUUGAAUGAGCCGAUGUCGGAUUAGCUAGUUGGCGGGGUAAAGGCCCACCAAGGCGACGAUCCGUAGCUGGUCUGAGAGGAUGAUCAGCCACACUGGAACUGAGACACGGUCCAGACUCCUACGGGAGGCAGCAGUGGGGAAUAUUGGACAAUGGGCGCAAGCAUGAUCCAGCCAUACCGCGUGGGUGAAGAAGGCCUUCGGGUUGUAAAGCCCUUUUGUUGGGAAAGAAAAGCAGCAGGUUAAUACCCCGCUGUUCUGACGGUACCCAAAGAAUAAGCACUGGCUAACUUCGUG
rnacentral:rRNA from 1 species